GGCGGGAUAGCUCAGUUGGUAGAGCAGAGGACUGAAAAUCCUUGUGUCCCUGGUUCAAGCCCGGGUCUUGCCACCA
rnacentral:tRNA from 1 species